rnacentral:tRNA from 1 species
GGUCUGUGGCUCAGAGGUAGAGCACUUGCCUAGCAUGCGUGAGGCCCUGGGUUCGAUCCUCAGCACCA